CAACACGAGACCCGUCAAAUGGUGGUUCCUUCUCUCCUGCCUGUGUGAAAACGUAUGACAGUAGUUUAAAGUGUCUGGCUGUGAGAUACCAUAGGAUGCUUUGUCAUCAUGGCAUCACCAACGUAUUUCCCAUGUUAUUUAUAUGCAUUGUAUUAGUUUUUCUUCUAAUCUGGGGACUUUCCCCCAUAUUGCAUUGUAUUUGAAAGUGGAAACCAGUAAGAAAAUUCUAGUUACUAAUUACUAACUUGUGGGAUUCAACUGACUUGUUAACAGUGCAUCAUCAGGGAAACAUUUGAAGGGUAAAAUCCCAGAUGAGCUUAAGCACUUGGAUGGUUUAACAGAGUUGUGGCUGGAUGGUAACUCCUUAAGUGGGUCAAUCCCCGACAUAAGUAACCUCCUAAAUUUGACCAUUGUGCAUCUAGAGAACAACAGACUGACUGGUCCAAUACCUUCUUACUUUGGAGAUUUUCCAAGCUUACGAGAAUUGUAUAUCCAGAAUAACUCUUUAAAUGGGGAAAUACCUCCAUCACUGUUAACUGGAAAAUUGGUAUUCAAGUAUG